rnacentral:rRNA from 1 species
AUACGUAGGUGGCAAGCGUUGUCCGGAAUUAUUGGGCGGUAAAGAGCAUGUAGGCGGGCCUUUAAGUCCGACGUGAAAAUGCGGGGCUCAACCCCGUAUGGCGUUGGAUACUGGAGGUCUUGAGUGCAGGAGAGGAAAGGGGAAUUCCCAGUGUAGCGGUGAAAUGCGUAGAUAUUGGGAGGAACACCAGUGGCGAAGGCGCCUUUCUGGACUGUGUCUGACGCUCAGAUGCGAAAGCUAGGGUAGC